rnacentral:rRNA from 1 species
CAGCCGCCGCGGGAAAACGAAGGGUGCAAGCGUUAAUCGGAAUUACUGGGCGUAAAGCGCGCGUAGGUGGUUUGGUAAGAUGGAUGUGAAAUCCCCGGGCUCAACCUGGGAACUGCAUCCAUAACUGCCUGACUAGAGUACGGUAGAGGGUGGUGGAAUUUCCUGUGUAGCGGUGAAAUGCGUAGAUAUAGGAAGGAACACCAGUGGCGAAGGCGACCACCUGGACUGAUACUGACACUGAGGUGCGAAAGCGUGGGGAGCAAACAGGAUUAGAUACCCGUGUAGUCCCUGUCUCUUAUAC